rnacentral:rRNA from 1 species
ACGAACGCUGGCGGCAUGCCUCACCCCUGCCAGUCGCACGAGACCUUCGGGUCUAGUGGCGCACGGGUGCGUCACGCGUGGGAACCUGCCCUUAGGUUCGGAAUAACUCCCCGCAAGGGGUGCUAAUACCGGAUAAUGUCUUCGGACCAAAGAUUUAUCGCCUUUGGAUGGGCCCGCGUUGGAUUAGCUAGUUGGUAGGGUAAAAGCCUACCAAGGCGACGAUCCAUAGCUGGUCUGAGAGGAUGAUCAGCCACACUGGGACUGAGACACGGCCCAGACUCCUACGGGAGGCAGCAGUGGGGAAUAUUGGACAAUGGGCGAAAGCCCGAUCCAGCAAUGCCGCGUGAGUGAUGAAGGCCUUAGGGUUGUAAAGCUCUUUUACCCGGGAUGAUAAUGACAGUACCGGGAGAAUAAGCGCCGGCUAACUCCGUG